AACGAACGCUGGCGGCAGGCCUAACACAUGCAAGUCGAGCGAGAUCUUCGGGUCUAGCGGCGGACGGGUGAGUAACGCGUGGGAAUAUGCCUCUUGGUACGGAAUAGCCUCGGGAAACUGGGAGUAAUACCGUAUGUGCCCUUUGGGGGAAAGAUUUAUCGCCAAGAGAUUAGCCCGCGUUGGAUUAGGUAGUUGGUGGGGUAAUGGCCUACCAAGCCGACGAUCCAUAGCUGGUUUGAGAGGAUGAUCAGCCACACUGGGACUGAGACACGGCCCAGACCCCUGGGGGGGGAGGCAGGGGGGAAUUGAAGAAAGGGGGGGAACCCUGGAUAUGGCCAGGCGGGGGGAGGGAAGAGGCCUUAGGGGUUGAAAACUUUUUCGGGCGGGAAAGAAAAUGAGGGACCCAGAAAAAGAGCCCCGGGCAAACUCGGGG
rnacentral:rRNA from 1 species